rnacentral:snRNA from 1 species
GUGUGUGAGGGUGAUCUGGCUGCCACGUCUGUCACCCACGGAUCGCCAGGGUUGAUUCGGCUGCUCUAGCUAGCUAGGCGGGUGUCCCCUUCCUUCCUCUCCUCUCCAUGUGCUGGGAAGCUGUACACCCUAUUGAAGAGGAUGAAUUUCCCCCAAUAGAGGAAGGCCAGUUUUCAGUCAAGGGUACCCAAGUAGCUAUGCUCCCCUGCUAGAACCUCCAAACAAGCUCUCAAGAAAUUGGCGUGGGGGAUAACUAUUAACUUUAAAUUUUAGACAAGCAACUAAUCUUU